UUCUAGCCCCGAUUCCAGUGGAAAUCCUUUUUUGGGGCGGCGGCUUCGCCGCCCCCAAAAAAGAUUGUAACGGAAAGCGGGUUGUACC
rnacentral:sRNA from 1 species